AAGACUUAAAGAGGAGAUAGCUUAAGUCAUUAGGUACAUAUUCCCUGACAUUCUAGAGGUCAACCUUGCACAGUGUGUGACAUUAAAGGGCAUAACUUAUAGAAAUGGAAUGGUACUGGCCCAAAGGGCAGCAGGUGGAUUGCCAGAAUACUGAAAAACCAUAUCUGCAUUGUACCACAGCAUAUUCUACAUUGUCAGAGAGCUUGGUGGCUGGUACAGAGAGCACGACAGCUUUUGAGCUCAGCCCAGUAUCCACAAGAAUAUUCACUCUCAUUUCACUCUGUGAACUCCUUGAUACUUAUCCAUUGGUUGACUAUGAGAUUGGAUCAGUCCACAUUGUGACUUUAAAAGGCAUAUAGAAAUAAAAGGUGUUCAUAUAAGUGUAAUAGGUUCAGUCGCAUGUAUUUCAUUAGAUAAAUUCUUCUUUUUUUAUGUCUGAUCUUUAUAACUUUGACUAUUGGGUAUGGAUAGCUUUAUGAAAACUAAACUGAAAGGAUUCUUUCUGAAUAUGUAAUUCUUUUUUGCCUACAGAGUCCUAUGGGGAGUCCUAUGGUCCUAAAGACUGUUUUGGCUGACGGAACCUGUCGAAGGCUCACUCUCUAAUGGAGCGCCUGAAUCAACUGAGGAUCUCAUCGUUGAAGUCAAGAGACAGUGUUGUCUUCAGGGCAGUUUCAGACUUGGACAUAAAAAAGAGUAACAGAGUUGGUGAAACUCAAGAUGGAAAAGACUUUUUCAUACAGAAGACAUGAAGGUGUUCGUGAUGCACCAAUGGUGGAGGCUUUCAUGGCAAGAUGGCCUGCUCUAAUUGAUUUCCAUGAGAUCAACGCUGAGUUUAAGAGAAUUGCCACCAUCCCCCCUCAGACAAAGUUCCUGGCUCAGCUGGUCUCCACUGGACAACCUGGUGAAGUUGGUCAACAGAAGAGGAGAGCUUGGACUAAUACUGAAAAGAAUUGUGGCAUAAAUGGAUAAUUGUGAAGAUGUUGAUGCUGAACGUGAGUGUGUCAAGGGAGUGUGUAUCUACAUGGGUGAAGACCCUGGCAUGCUUAUCCGGGAGUAUGUGGGCAUGGAAGAACGUGCCAUCAGUGAGACUGUUGAAGACACCACUGUUUGAAUUUAUCUUCUUAAAGAGCAAGCUUCAGCAGAUGAACAAGAGUUGUCCUUGCAGGCAUCAGGGUGGCGAAGACUUUGGAUAA